AUAAAUGUGUUAAUGAAAAGAUGCAAUAAAAAUAUACAACCUAAAUAAAAAAGAUAUGACUGUAGUUAACGAAUAUAACUGUAAAAAAAAGAAUAAUCGUAAAUAUUUUAAAGAAAAAU
rnacentral:sRNA from 1 species